AGAGCGAACGCUGGCGGCAUGCUUAACACAUGCAAGUCGCACGGGCAGGGGAAACCCUGUCAGUGGCGGACGGGUGAGUAACGCGUAGGUAUCUAUCCUUGGGUGGGGGACAACGGCUGGAAACGGCUGCUAAUACCGCAUGAUGACCGAGGUCUAAAGGCGCAAGUCGCCUGAGGAGGAGCCUGCGUACGAUUAGCUAGUUGGUGGGGUAAAGGCUUACCAAGGCGACGAUCGGUAGCUGGUCUGAGAGGAUGAUCAGCCACACUGGGAUUGAGAACGGCCCAGACUCCUACGGGGGGCAGCAGUGGGGAAUUUUGCGCAAUGGGGGAAACCCUGACGCAGCAACGCCGCGUGGAGGAUGAAGUCCCUUGGGACGUAAACUCCUUUCGAUCGGGACGAUAAUGACGGUACCGAGAGAAGAGCCCCGGCUAACUUCGUGCCAGCAGCCGC
rnacentral:rRNA from 1 species